rnacentral:rRNA from 1 species
UACGUAGGGGGCAAGCGUUGUCCGGAUUUACUGGGUGUAAAGGGUGCUCAGGUGGAUUUUUAAGUCAGAGGUGAAAUCCCAAAGCUUAACUUUGGAGCUGCCUUUGAUACUGAGAGUCUUGAGUUUGAGAGAGGGCAAUGGAAUAUCUGGUGUAGCAGUGAAAUGCGUAGAUAUCAGAUAGAACACCAAUGGCGAAGGCAGUUGCCUGGCUCAAAACUGACGCUAAAGCACGAAAGUGUGGGGAGCAAACAGG